AAUCAGUCACGCCCUAAGGCCAAUGGUCGCAACUUAUUCAUGUGAUUAAAAUUCUAUAUCAUUUCCUUCUAAACGGUAAAGUAGAAACUUCACUACUUGAAUCAGGGUACAAAACGUUUGCCUUGGAUAGCAUAUAUAAACGAACACCUUCAAAAUAUUUCUCCACCGUGACAAUAACUAAACGAAAUGUUCAAAUUCAGUUAGAUGGCAAUCAAAGAACGAAUUGUCCUUUCUGUUUAAUUUCAGCCUACAUAUAUGCAUUGACAAACUUGCAAGUGCAUUCCUAGAGUAAAUCAUUGAUCAUGCCGGACAAAUUGGGGUUCUUCGAUCCUUGGAUUAAGGGCAGACUCCAUCUGUGCACUGUGUCUCAGUGCACAACGACAUGAAUGGUCGCCAAAUAGGACAAGUCAAAAGAAGCAGCUGAUCAUAUGGUGACGUUGAUCGGAAUCAGUUUUCUGGCGUUUUCUGCGACAUAUACACCAAGUUUUUUUUUUUUUUUGCUAGAGGGUUACAUAUUAAAUUGUUCCUAGUAAUUAUUUGAACCCAUAUAACAUCUUUUUACACCCAACUUAAAUUUUAAAUAUGAGGUGCCCUUUAAAACCUAUUACAUAAUUACUAUAAAGUACAAGAUGUUAUUAACAAUAAAACUAAAUUUUAUCAAUAAUCCACACCCAAUAAUCUAACCCUUACUAUUACCAAUCUUUCUUCUACGAAACUUAGAAAGAGACAAAGAAAUUAGAUUUGUGACUGAAUGCCUCACAUAAAAAUCACAAGUCCAUGAAGGCAUAUACCACUUCCCAGUCCAUCCUAUAGAAAAUUGAGGCAAUCACUCCAACAUCAAGGCAAAGAAGACAGAAGAUGGAGAUUAUGUACUAGUUCUUUUUUCUUUUCUUUUUUGAAGGGAAACGAUAGUAGAUUCAUUGAUUGAGGAACUUCAUUACAUAGUUUAAGAUACAAUAAGCCAUAUUAAGGCAACACACAUUCUUCCAAGAGUAAAUCAGAAAUGAAUAAAGGAGGAGAAACAUCCCAUUCACACUCCUGACUCAAGGAGAGAGCAAAACGUGCUAGCCUAUGGGCAAUAGAGUUGGCUUGGCGGUGGGUAUGGGUAAAAAUAGCCUAAGUGAUUGAUGGAAUUAACAAUUUGAUAUCUUCUAUAAUCUGUCCAACUGGGGAUAAAUUAAUAGACGACACCUUAGACACUUCCACAAUCUAAAGCGAAUCACUCUCACAAUUAUUAAGUUUUGAAAACCCCUAUUCGCUGCUCAUCUCAAGCCUUCUCUAACCGCCAUUGCUUUCGCUUGAAGUGGAGAAAACACAUCCACAAAGCACCUCCCCGUUGGUGGUGCAGUCCACUUUGCUUGAAGUGGAGAUUAUGUACUAAUGAAAAUUGGUCAAGCACAAAACCAGAGUGAUGAUAUUUAUGUAAAUAUUCAUAAAACUAAAUUCAAAUGGUCAAGAGCACAGGCACCUAUAGAAAAAUUAUGGGUUAUUGCUAAAAAGUGGUAACAAGUUAAAGGAAAAAAACAUAAUCUCAAAAUCAAACUCAGUAAAAACCAAAAUUAGGGAUACAUAAAUCAGAAUAUAAAUCAUAUUGAUUUGGUUAUUCUACAAGAGAAAAAGUUAUCACAAAUUCAACAAGAAAGAAGACAAAUUCAACAAGUUAGUAGUAUGGAUGUAAAGAUAAAUUUACAUAUUGAAUUGGGUUUGUGAUAGUAGUUUAGGUAGUAAACUCGGAUUUAAAAAGAUAUUGAUAGUUUAAUUAAAAUUAAUAUGAAUGUAGAAAAUAAAUUAAGAGUAAAAAAAGAUUAUAUGGGUUCAAAUAAAAUUUCCCAUCAUUUUAUUUUUUUUCUCAGCCAUAACAAUUGUGAGUAAGAAAAAAAAUCACAUAAUUGUAAAUAAUCAAAAACUUAAAGUAAGAUGAUGAACAUAGGACGAGUUUAAUUACCUUUUAGUUUUUCAUCUUCAAUUCUACUUUCGAUGACCAAAUUGUAUAUACUUUAGCAUUACCCUGUUAUUAAUAUACUUUAAAAAUCAUAUAUAUUAAUAAUAUUGUCAACUCAUAUUAUAGCAUAUAAAAUAAUAUGUUAUAUACUAAGUGUUUUUGGUUAUAGAAUCGACCUCGGUAAAGUGUCAGUCCGCUGCUUGUGCUUGACCAAAAUCCACGUCCCUUUUUAUAUAUGAAUAUGAUGUAUGAUAUCUUCUAGAUUAAACAACACAUUUAGCUAAAAAUUAAUGUUUAUCCAUUUUUGUAAAUAAAAAAAUAAAGUAUCGAACCAUACUCAUUUUAUCCUUAUAUUAUUCACUAGAUGAUCAUGCAUAUGUCUUGAGAUGCGUAUGCAAUGACGAUUAUAUAAAGAUUGUGUUAUUGUCGCAUCUUUUUUUAUUUCUUACAUAUUUUUCCAUUAAUUUAUAUCAUUUCAUUCUCUUCAAUUUAUUAAAUAGAUGACCGAAAUUGAGAGAUGUAUGGAAGAUAAAAAGCAAUGUGUGGAUAGUACCACCUUAAUAUAAUUGAAGGAUUGAGAGAACAAAAAUUCAGCACUUAUUUCAUAAUUGUUGUAAUUAAAGUCUCAUGUUGGAGAACUACGCAUGAAUUUAUAAGACUGAAAACAGAAAAUAGUUAGACUAAAGACAGCCUUUCUUCUUCCCGAUACUUCACUUCUUUCAACUCUACAAACAGAACCCCUUUCUCUGCUUCAGCGGUAGCCCACCCCAUUUCUCAUAGAUUUCAUCGACUGAUCCCGUUAUUUCACACCAAUUUCAUGGAUUGCCCAUAUUAUAUUUAUUACACAUAUUUUUAUUAUAAUAAGACAAGGCAUGGAAAGGUUUAUGCCUCUCAACGCUACGCCUCAUAUUAUGAGAUAAAAAUACCUCGACAUACGCUUUCGCCUCUGAACAUAUUGGCAUCAACUUAUAUAACUUCAAAAUAAAAUUGACGAUAGGGAUCAACUUUUAUGAUUCAACUAGGUUUAGCUGCAUGUAAACAAGAGAUACACCAUAUCUAAAUUUACAACUUGUUUGUACCAUAUUUAGGGUCUCCGUAUUUAGAUUUCGUAUAAAUACUCAGGAAACUCAAAUGUAAUUAUGUAACAAAAGAAGGGGCAAAUAUGUAAUAAGUGAGGAGCCCUUAUUCUAUAAAAGGACUUCUCACUCUCCUCAUUUGGAAGAGGCCAAUUCUUAGGCUUGACCCCUCACCCUCUCAAAGCCUCUCAUACUCUGAGAUUCAGAGCUCUCAUCCUCACAAAGAAACUCUCUCUAUCCUCUUCAACAUCUCAGAGAAAUACAAUAUUAGUGUGGACGUAGCCUAAACAUUGGGGUGAACCACGAUACAUCUUGUGUUCUUUACUUUCUUGCAGAUUCACAGUCGGAUUUACGUUGUUCUAAGAUCCCUCCGGUUUUGUGCAUCAACAUUUGGCGCCGUCUGUGGGAAUCGACACGAAAAGUUAAGUCGGUUCUCUUUCAUUUUUUCACCUCCGUCGUGGAUCUGCAAAACCCACACAGAGACACAGACACAUAGCUCUCUCUCUCUGCAACUUCCAAUUUACAGAGCUGUUGCCAUUUUUUCAGUCUAUGAUAUGAACCACUGCUAUGCCCAUAACGGUGGAUACCACCAUAAUAGCCCACAAAGCCUCAUAUUGGUCCUCUUCCAAGUCCAAACUCUGGAAGUACAACGUAUUCUUGAACUUCAGGGGUGAAGACACGUGCUAGAGCUUCACGAGCUACCUCCAUGCAGCAUUAAA
rnacentral:lncRNA from 1 species